GACGAACGCUGGCGGCGUGCUUAACACAUGCAAGUCGAACGGUAAGGCCCCUUCGGGGGUACACGAGUGGCGAACGGGUGAGUAACACGUGGGUAAUCUGCCCUGCACUUCGGGAUAAGCCUGGGAAACUGGGUCUAAUACCGGAUAUGAGCUCCUGCCGCAUGGUGGGGGUUGGAAAGUUUUUCGGUGCAGGAUGAGCCCGCGGCCUAUCAGCUUGUUGGUGGGGUAAUGGCCUACCAAGGCGACGACGGGUAGCCGGCCUGAGAGGGUGAUCGGCCACACUGUGACUGAGACACGGCCCAGACUCCUACGGGAGGCAGCAGUGGGGAAUAUUGCAAAAUGGGCGGAAGCCUGAUGCAGCGACGCCGCGUGGGGGAUGACGGUCUUCGGAUUGUAAACCCCUUUCAGUAGGGACGAAGCGCAAGUGACGGUACCUGCAGAAGAAGCACCGGCCAACUACGUGCCAGCCGCCGCCGUAACAC
rnacentral:rRNA from 1 species